GCCCUCGUGGCGGAACUGGCAUACGCGUGUGGCUUAGGACCACAUUCCCUUUUCGGGAUUGCAGGUUCAAGUCCUGCCGGGGGCA
rnacentral:tRNA from 1 species